rnacentral:rRNA from 1 species
UACGAAGGGGGCUAGCGUUGCUCGGAAUCACUGGGCGUAAAGCGCACGUAGGCGGCUUCUUAAGUCAGGGGUGAAAUCCUGGAGCUCAACUCCAGAACUGCCCUUGAUACUGAGGAGCUCGAGUCCGGAAGAGGUGAGUGGAACUGCGAGUGUAGAGGUGAAAUUCGUAGAUAUUCGCAAGAACACCAGUGGCGAAGGCGGCUCACUGGUCCGGUACUGACGCUGAGGAGCGAAAGCGUGGGGAGCGAACAGG